GACUACUUUAUGCCAUCUGUAUAACGAUAUGUGGAUGGAAAGAGUAGCCCCAGUAAAACUUUUUAUUUUAAGUCGUGAACAAUUUUAAAAUAAAACAAUUUUAAUGCGGCCGCCACCAUUACCGCCACCAACAUUUCCGGCGCGGACGCUGAUUUUCCAGCGCGGCCAUGGCCCAAAACAGUUUCAAUAAGUUUCGCUAAAACUUUUACACGCCUCUUGGACCCCUUCCCGAGCAUACAGCACCCCAGCCAUGAACAUUCGGGAAACAACUGUAGAAAAAAACACGGCGCUGAGUGUAGGCGGACAUUUGUGCAGGAGCGUGGGCGUGGCCAUGGCACUAGUUCUGUUGGGUUCACUGUUGAAAAUUUGAGCGCGCUGAUGGGCAUUUUUACAACUGAAACGUUAACUAUGUGCAACUAGCCAAAGAAAGAAACAAAAAUAGAGCAAUAAAAAAAAAACUUAAAAUA